CUCUCCCCCGUGACCUCUUCGACCCAAACCUCAAGCGAAAAUUCCCUAGCUCGCUAGACCGGCGCAGGACUGUGACUGCGCGCCUCCUUUUACCUGAGAGGGACCGCCGGGCCCCCGGGCGCAGCCGCCAAAGGCGGGGAGCCGCCGCCGCCCCGGCGCAACUCAUUGCCGGAACUAAAAAAAGCAACCACUUCGUUGAACGGAACUGGCCAAUAGUGCCCUUGGCUCGGACUGAUGACGCACAGCAGACGUAAGGAAGGCUCAGCUCGCCCGCGCACCGGUGGGAACGCCCCCUAGCUCUGCGCUAGGGGUUAGAUUGGUUAGAUACGACAAAUAAAAAGAUUUUAUUGGGUGGGGUCACUGUCAAUCACUCGGAAGACCAAGGCCAAGGCGCCUUGGGUUGCCAGGGAGAUGAAAAUGCUAAAUUGCUGUUUAGAAAGAUCAGGACAAGGUUAUGAUUUCUCACCCAAGUUCCUGGGGAAAAGGAUCAUGAGGGAAUUACUUAUUAACAAGGCACGGUAUUUCCUGCUUUACCUACGUGGAAGGAGAUUUUUUUUUUUAUUUGUAUCCUACAUCUACUUUAAAAUAGUAAGCCUGGGCAACAUAGCGAGACCCCGCCUCUACAAAUAAUUUUAAAAAUUAGCCGGGUCUGGUGGAGCACACCUGUAGUCCCAGCUACUCGGGAGGCUGAGGUGGGGGGAUAGCUUGAGCCCGGUAGCUCGAGG
rnacentral:lncRNA from 1 species